UAGGUGAUGGCACGAAUCGCCGGCUUCACUAUAAUUUCAACCAUACUUCUAACAGCUAUGGUAGACAGUGUUCUGGGGAUUGAUAACCAAAGUGAAAAGGAACAAGAAGGCGAAAGCGACAACCAGAAAAUGGAAGAUAAACAAGACGUUGAUAUUGCAAAGUUUUAUUCCAAACGUGAAGUCAUAUGGAUCAUUUCUGUCAGCAAUACACAAUUUCCAUGCAAGGUGGAUUUUGUCAGUGAUGCGAAUGGCACCCAUACAUUGUUUACAAGACAUCACCGGGAAGGCGUAAGGUUUCCGAAAAGAGACCUAAUUGGAGAAUUUAGAACAGAAGCACGGGAAGCACAAAAUGGUUUGAAUGCCAUGCAAGUGUCACCCC